rnacentral:rRNA from 1 species
GCUCUAAGCUUACUAUCCAAAAUGCACCAGACCUUGUCUGAUCUUGGAAGCUAAACGAGGUCAGCCCUGGUUCAUACUUGGAUGGGAGAUCACCAAGAAAUACCAGGUGCUGUAGGCU